rnacentral:rRNA from 1 species
AAUGAGCGCUGGCGGCAUGCCUAACACAUGCAAGUCGAACGAGACCUUCGGGUCUAGUGGCGCACGGGUGCGUAACGCGUGGGAAUCUGCCCUUGGGUUCGGAAUAACAGUUAGAAAUGACUGCUAAUACCGGAUGAUGUCGAAAGACCAAAGAUUUAUCGCCCGAGGAUGAGCCCGCGUAGGAUUAGCUAGUUGGUGAGGUAAAGGCUCACCAAGGCGACGAUCCUUAGCUGGUCUGAGAGGAUGAUCAGCCACACUGGGACUGAGACACGGCCCAGACUCCUACGGGAGGCAGCAGUGGGGAAUAUUGGACAAUGGGCGAAAGCCUGAUCCAGCAAUGCCGCGUGAGUGAUGAAGGCCUUAGGGUUGUAAAGCUCUUUUACCCGGGAUGAUAAUGACAGUACCGGGAGAAUAAGCUCCGGCUAACUUCGUGCCAGCCGCCGCGGUAA